rnacentral:tRNA from 1 species
GCCCUCAUAGUUAAAUGGAUAUAACAAAUCCCUCCUAAGGAUUAGUUAUGGGUUCGAUUCCCGUUGGGGGUG